rnacentral:rRNA from 1 species
AGAACGAACGCUGGCGGCAUGCCUAACACAUGCAAGUCGAACGAGACCUUCGGGUCUAGUGGCGCACGGGUGCGUAACGCGUGGGAAUCUGCCCUUGGGUUCGGAAUAACAGUUGGAAACGACUGCUAAUACCGGAUGAUGACGUAAGUCCAAAGAUUUAUCGCCCAGGGAUGAGCCCGCGUAGGAUUAGCUAGUUGGUGAGGUAAAGGCUCACCAAGGCGACGAUCCUUAGCUGGUCUGAGAGGAUGAUCAGCCACACUGGGACUGAGACACGGCCCAGACUCCUACGGGAGCAGCAGUGGGGAAUAUUGGACAAUGGGCGAAAGCCUGAUCCAGCAAUGCCGCGUGAGUGA